rnacentral:rRNA from 1 species
GACGUAGGGGGCAAGCGUUGUCCGGGAAUUAUUGGGCGUAAAGCGCUCGUAGGCGGAUCGGUAAGUCUGUGAAGAAAGACCCGGGCUCAACUCGGGGAACGGCAUAGAUACUGCUGAUCUUGAGACAGUCAGAGGAUGAUGGAAUUCCAGGUGUAGCGGUGAAAUGCGUAGAUAUCUGGAGGAACACCAGUGGCGGAAGGCGAUCAUCUGGGGCUGUUCUGACGCUGAGGAGCGAAAGCUAGGGGAGCAAACGGG